rnacentral:tRNA from 1 species
UUGCCCGGAUAGCUCAGUCGGUAGAGCAGGGGAUUGAAAAUCCCCGUGUCCUUGGUUCGAUUCCGAGUCCGGGCAC